AUGGCAGGGCUGCCUGGGCCAAUGGGACCUCAGGGACCUCCAGGACCCCCUGGACCCCCUGGACCAGCCUUCCAAAUUACUACUGAUGGAAAAGAAAAAGAAGUUGAUCUUCAAUACAUUCCAGGAGUCAUGGGGCCACCAGGUCCACAGGGACCUCAGGGGAUACCCGGACUACCAGGAAAAUCUGGUUUACCAGGUAUUUCAGGUCAGAAAGGUGAAGAAGGUCAAAAAGGACAAGAAGGAAUGCCAGGGUUAGAUGGCUUUCCAGGAAAAAUAGGGCUAAAGGGGGAAAGAGGAUGGAAAGGUGAAAAAGGCGAUCCCGGUCAUGCAGUAGGGCCUGCAGGACCACCAGGGCCACCAGGUCCUCCAGGACAAGUUAUCUAUAUUAAUGGCAGUGUAAGUGUUAUCAUACAGUUAUCCCUCAAAGGACAUUGUAUAACUCUGUAA
rnacentral:lncRNA from 12 species